rnacentral:rRNA from 1 species
AACGCUAGCUACAGGCUUAACACAUGCAAGUCGAGGGGCAGCAUAAAAGUAGCAAUACUUUGGUGGCGACCGGCGCACGGGUGAGUAACGCGUAUGCAACCUACCUAUCAGAGGGGGAUAACCCGGCGAAAGUCGGACUAAUACCGCAUAAAACAGGGGCACCGCAUGGUGAUAUUUGUUAAAAAUUUAUUGCUGAUAGAUGGGCAUGCGUUCCAUUAGGUAGUUGGAGAGGUAACGGCUCACCAAGCCCACGAUGGAUAGGGGAACUGAGAGGUUGGUCCCCCACACUGGUACUGAGACACGGACCAGACUCCUACGGGAGGCAGCAGUGAGGAAUAUUGGUCAAUGGGCGAGAGCCUGAACCAGCCAAGUCGCGUGAAGGAAGAAGGAUCUAUGGUUCGUAAACUUCUUUUGCAGGGGAAUAAAGUGCAGGACGUGUCCUGUUUUGUAUGUACCCUGAGAAUAAGGAUCGGCUAACUCCGUGCCAGCAGCCGCGGUAAUACGGAGGAUCCGAGCGUUAUCCGGAUUUAUUGGGUUUAAAGGGUGCGUAGGUGGUUUAAUAAGUCAGCGGUGAAAGUUUGCAGCUUAACUGUAAAAAUGCCGUUGAAACUGUUAGACUUGAGUGUAAAUGAGGUAGGCGGAAUGCGUGGUGUAGCGGUGAAAUGCUUAGAUAUCACGAAGAACUCCGAUUG